rnacentral:lncRNA from 1 species
UGUCUGUGGUGAAAGCAACAUGCUUUUCUAUUCCAAUAAUGUAUAAUAUGUUGGUAUUAAGUAUUACAGCAGUGUUAGUUAAACACAUCCUUUGUUUCUUUUAGAGGACAAAAUCAAUGUAAGUAAAACCACAACAAAAGACCACGCCUCCUUUUCCCCUCAACAUAGGUAAUAUCACCUGUGCAUAUGUGAUGGAAUGUUUCUUAUGUAUGCAUUAAACAUAAAGUGCAUGGAAAACUUACCAUUGCAUAGGAGCAAUAUACGUCAAAGAAUUUGGCUCUUGCAUGACACAUAUACUGACAUCCCCAAAUGCACGUGGGAACAAAGGAUUUUACUUUCACUCCCG